UGCAAGUCGAGCGCACCUUCGGGUGAGCGGCGGACGGGUUAGUAACGCGUGGGAACAUACCCUUUGGUACGGAAUAGCCUCUGGAAACGGAGAGUAAUACCGUAUGAGCCCUUCGGGGGAAAGAUUUAUCGCCAAAGGAUUGGCCCGCGUUAGAUUAGGUAGUUGGUGGGGUAAUGGCCUACCAAGCCUACGAUCUAUAGCUGGUUUUAGAGGAUGAUCAGCAACACUGGGACUGAGACACGGCCCAGACUCCUACGGGAGGCAGCAGUGGGGAAUCUUGGACAAUGGGGGCAACCCUGAUCCAGCCAUGCCGCGUGAGUGAUGAAGGCCUUAGGGUCGUAAAGCUCUUUCGCCUGUGAAGAUAAUGACGGUAGCAGGUAAAGAAACCCCGGCUAACUCCGUGCCAGCAGCCGCGGUAAUACGGAGGGGGUUAGCGUUGUUCGGAAUUACUGGGCGUAAAGCGCACGUAGGCGGACUGGAAAGUUGGGGGUGAAAUCCCAGGGCUCAACCCUGGAACUGCCUCCAAAACUAUCAGUCUAGAGUUCGAGAGAGGUGAGUGGAAUUCCGAGUGUAGAGGUGAAAUUCGUAGAUAUUCGGAGGAACACCAGUGGCGAAGGCGGCUCACUGGCUCGAUACUGACGCUGAGGUGCGAAAGUGUGGGGAGCAAACAGGAUUAGAUACCCUGGUAGUCCACACCGUAAACGAUGAAUGCCAGUCGUCGGGUAGCAUGCUAUUCGGUGACACACCUAACGGAUUAAGCAUUCCGCCUGGGGAGUAC
rnacentral:rRNA from 1 species